rnacentral:lncRNA from 1 species
AAAUACUCAUAAAUAUUCCAUUUAUAUGAUUCCAACGCAUUAAAUGCUCAAUAUAAUAAUACUUAAUACGUACGAACUUACUUGUUUAUAACCUUGCCACAUCCCAGUCACUUAAUGAACACAUCAUUCACAUAACCAAGUUCCUGCACUUAUUCCUCACAAAACUCACAAAGCAGUACAUAGUAAGUCUCCUGUUGAACACUUCGGAUCAAUACUCGAUACUUGGUGGUUUCAGCACAU